rnacentral:misc_RNA from 1 species
AAAAAAAAGGAAGCCUGAUUCACAUGGAAUGGGGAAAAUUUUUCCAAAAAUCUCAAAAUUAGGCUCUGGUACUAUGUUAAGAUUUCAGAAUAAGAAGAAAAUGAAAGAAAGGGAGGAAAGGGAAGAGAAGGAAAUAACUUAAAGGGCUACAUCUUUUUCUCAGGUUAUACACACACACACAUCUCCUAUAAUUAUUCUAUUUAAUUAGGAAUAUAAAUCCCACAUUAAAUAGGAAUAU